UCUCCGUUGGUGAACCAGCGGAGGGAUCAUUACAGGACUCGCAAGACUCCUUAACCCUGUGAACUUACUAUAAAGCGCGUUGCUUCGGCGGGUGCCCCGGGUCUCCCGAGGCGCUAAGCCCGCCGGCAGCCUACUAUACUCUGUCUCUUUGCGUUGGCAUCUCGAGAAAAAACAAACAAGUUAAAACUUUCAACAACGGAUCUCUUGGUUCUG
rnacentral:misc_RNA from 1 species